rnacentral:piRNA from 1 species
UGCACUAUUCAGAACAACACCAGCUCUGC